GGGUCAGUAGGUUGGUCGUGCCACCGGUACGUACUGGUCUCACCGAUUCCUCCUUCCUGAAGAACCUUAAUGCCAUUAAUUUGGUGUUGCGGGGAAACAGGACUGUUACUUUGAAAAAAUUAGAGUGUUUAAAGCAAGCUAACGCUUGAAUACAUUAGCAUGGAAUAAUGAAAUAGGACGAUCGAUCCUAUUUUGUUGGUUUCUAGGAUUGACGUA
rnacentral:rRNA from 1 species